UACGUAGGGGGCAAGCGUUGUCCGGAUUUAUUGGGCGUAAAGCGCGCGCAGGCGGUUUAUUAAGUCUGAUGUGAAAGCCCACGGCUCAACCGUGGAGGGCCAUUGGAAACUGGUAGGCUUGAGUACCGGAGAGGAUGGCGGAAUUCCCCAAGUAGAGGUGAAAUUCGUAGAUAUGGGGAGGAACACCGGUGGCGAAGGCGGCCAUCUGGACGGAUACUGACGCUGAGACGCGAAAGCGUGGGUAGCAAACAGG
rnacentral:rRNA from 1 species